AGGUAAGCUACUAAGAGCGAAUGGUGGAUGCCUUGACUGGUAAAGGCGAUGAAGGACGUACUAGACUGCGAUAAGCUACGGGGAGCUGUCAAGAAGCUUUGAUCCGUAGAUUUCCGAAUGGGGCAACCCAAUGUAUAGAGAUAUACAUUACCUAUAUAGGAGCGAACGAGGGGAAUUGAAACAUCUUAGUACCCUCAGGAAAAGAAAUCAAUAGAGAUUGCGUCAGUAGCGGCGAGCGAAAGCGCAAGAGGGCAAACCCAGUGCUUGCACUGGGGGUUGUAGGACUGCAAUGUGCAAGAGGUAAGUUUAGCAGAACAUUCUGGAAAGUAUAACCAUAGAGGGUGAUAGUCCCGUAUGCGAAAAACAAACCUUAGCUAGCAGUAUCCUGAGUAGGGCGGGACACGAGGAAUCCUGUCUGAAUCCGGGUCGACCACGAUCCAACCCUAAAUACUAAUACCAGAUCGAUAGUGCACAAGUACCGUGAGGGAAAGGUGAAAAGAACUGAGGUGAUCAGAGUGAAAUAGAACCUGAAACCAUUUGCUUACAAUCAUUCAGAGCCUUAUGUAGCAAUACAGGGUGAUGGACUGCCUUUUGCAUAAUGAGCCUGCGAGUUGUGGUGUCUGGCAAGGUUAAGCAAACGCGAAGCCGUAGCGAAAGCGAGUCUGAAUAGGGCGCUUAGUCAGAUGCUGCAGACCCGAAACGAAGUGAUCUAUCCAUGAGCAAGUUGAAGCUAGUGUAAGAACUAGUGGAGGACUGAACCCAUAGGCGUUGAAAAGCCCCGGGAUGACUUGUGGAUAGGGGUGAAAGGCCAAUCAAACUUCGUGAUAGCUGGUUCUCUCCGAAAUAUAUUUAGGUAUAGCGUUGUGUCGUAAUAUAAGGGGGUAGAGCACUGAAUGGGCUAGGGCAUACACCAAUGUACCAAACCCUAUCAAACUCCGAAUACCUUAUAUGUAAUCACAGCAGUCAGGCGGCGAGUGAUAAAAUCCGUCGUCAAGAGGGAAACAACCCAGACUACCAGCUAAGGUCCCUAAAUCUUACUUAAGUGGAAAACGAUGUGAAGUUACUUAAACAACCAGGAGGUUGGCUUAGAAGCAGCCAUCCUUUAAAGAAAGCGUAAUAGCUCACUGGUCUAGUGAUUUUGCGCGGAAAAUAUAACGGGGCUAAAGUAAGUACCGAAGCUGUAGACUUAGUUUACUAAGUGGUAGGAGAGCGUUCUAUUUGCGUCGAAGGUAUACCGGUAAGGAGUGCUGGAGCGAAUAGAAGUGAGCAUGCAGGCAUGAGUAGCGAUAAUUAAUGUGAGAAUCAUUAACGCCGUAAACCCAAGGUUUCCUACGCGAUGCUCGUCAUCGUAGGGUUAGUCGGGUCCUAAGUCGAGUCCGAAAGGGGUAGACGAUGGCAAAUUGGUUAAUAUUCCAAUACCAACAUUAGUGUGCGAUGGAAGGACGCUUAGGGCUAAGGGGGCUAGCGGAUGGAAGUGCUAGUCUAAGGUCGUAGGAGGUUAUACAGGCAAAUCCGUAUAACAAUACUCCGAGAACUGAAAGGCUUUUUGAAGUCUUCGGAUGGAUAGAAGAACCCCUGAUGCCGUCGAGCCAAGAAAAGUUUCUAAGUUUAGCUAAUGUUGCCCGUACCGUAAACCGACACAGGUGGGUGGGAUGAGUAUUCUAAGGCGCGUGGAAGAACUCUCUUUAAGGAACUCUGCAAAAUAGCACCGUAUCUUC
rnacentral:rRNA from 1 species